CAAUAGCGUAUAUUAAAGUUGUUGCAGUUAAAAAGCUCGUAGUUGGAUUUCUGGUGGGAGCGAUCGGUCUGGCGCUUAGCGCGAGUACUUGCAUCGUCUCCGGCCAUCCUUGGGGAGAGUCUGUCUGGCAUUAGGUUGUCGGGCAGAGGAUCCUCAUCGUUUACUGUGAAAAAAUUAGAGUGUUCAAAGCAGGCUUAUGCCGUUGAAUAUAUUAGCAUGGAAUAAUAAGAUAGGACUUUGGUACUAUUUUGUUGGUUUGCGCACCAAAGUAAUGAUUAAUAGGGACAGUUGGGGGUAUUCGUAUUCCGUUGUCAGUGGUGAAAUUCUUGGAUUUACGGAAGACGAACUACUGCGAAAGCAUUUACCAAGGAUGUUUUCAUUAA
rnacentral:rRNA from 1 species